rnacentral:sRNA from 1 species
UUAGCAGACUCUUGGGUAAGUUUCCAACUCACAAGCAGUCAAUGGGAUCUUAUUUUUUGAUCAAAAUAUAAUGUCUAACAGGUGGGCUAUGUUGGAGUCAAUCUUUGCCAGGUGGUACAGAAUCAGGAAAAUGAUUGUAGACCUGUGUAGAAAUGAUCACCAGUCCUCCCGGAUCAAACUGUUCUUACAGAGAACAGCUUCCAAGCUCCACCCACCGCUCUGAGGGAAGGUAGGUGUUUUCCCAAAUUGAUUGGCUCAGCAAACCCGCUGCUCUGGAAUCACUUUGAACUGACAAACUUCACAGAACAGGAUUUGAUCCUGAGCAGACGGCGCUGCCAGGAUCAGGCAUGGAUUAUGCCUGGCAAUUCUUUACCGACUUUGGUACAUCACAGACCUACCGUGCUGCAGCGGAGUGACAGGCACAAAGUGAUCAUUUACAACCAUUUAGAAAGGAGUAAAUAAAUUAGAAUUUUCCUUUAGUAUAAGAAAAGACCAUCUCUGCUUAAAAUAGAUAUAAUUCUUCCACGACCUAGAAACAAACAUUUCCCUCCUCCUGGUGUAAGGGAAAUCAGUCAUCUUUGUAACUGUGAUAAUUCUCUAGCCACCUGCAAGGCUAAUUUACGUUUGUUCCUCUUUCGUUCUAAAUAUUCCAUUCUGCUGUACUAUUUUACCAUAUUUUCUAGAAUCACACCUUUGCUUACAAUAUUGUUUUCAAUAUAUAAACUAGGCGUACAAUGCAACAGUAAAAGUGAAUAGGUUAGCACUAUAAUUUUUUUCAGUUUAAUUUUCAACAAGGAAAUAGGCAACAAAAUAUUUGCUAUCAGAACUGAGAACACAUCUUGGGUAUAUGCUUGGCUUGUCAAGUUAAAAAACAUAAUUCAAUUUCCAUAAGAAUUUUUCCAAGCAUUCUAGGUGCAAGGCACCGCGCUGAUGGGCAGAGACGAUAAGGACGAGUCUGUAUGGAGAGGCAGACACUCCCACUGGCAGCCGCAGCAUGAUGUAGUGAUGAUUCUGUUUACAUGGAAUAGUCACAGUCAGCAAAUCCACAGAGACAGAAAGCAGAUUAAUGGCUGCCCAGAGAGCAGUGGGAAACAGGGAGUGACUGAAUAAUGAAUAUGAAGUUUCCCUUUGGGUGAUGAAAAUCUUCAGAAACUAGACAGCAGUGAUGGCUACACAACAUACUGGUGAAUAAACAAAUACAAUAAUAGUAAUGUUACAUUACAUACAAUUUUUUGGUAAAGCAUCGUAUAAAAAUUGGUUAAGCAACAAACAGGCAAAUCCCUAGUGUUCUAAGGACAAAUUAUCCUUUUAUUCAUUCUUUCAGCCAAUAGUUACUGAGUACUCAUUCUGCCCAUUGAGAGCAGCGCUGGGUACUGGAGAUCAAAUGUUGAGCUCAGCCAAGCACGCUCUUUCUCCCUUAUACUAUUGUCUUGCAAGUUUAACUCCAGACAAAGGCUAAAAGGGAAAUGAAAUAUGUAAUCAAGAAACUUGGCCUAAUUGAACACUUGGACAAGGGUCAAGGAUGACCAUUCCAAAGAAGAAGCACUGGUCUGAGUUUUAAAGGAUGACUAGAAGCAAGAAGAGGGGACUGAGCCAGAGGAAGAGGUCAGACAUGGAGCUGUCAGGGAGAGGGUACAGUGUUUAUAAAGGACAGAUAGCAAAGACAGAGGAAGAAACUUGUCAUAGACUUGAACAGCAGGUCAGUUACAAGCUAUAUUCAGAAUCUGAAGGGUUGGGAGCCCUUGGAGGGAGAGCUGAGAGUAGAUGGGCCACAGGGAAUGUGGGAGACCAUGAUCACUGCCAUGGGGAAGGCAAAGGAGGGUGCAGAAGGAUAUCAGUGUGAAAGACGCUUACAAAGUUCCUCAUACAGAGGUUGGCGGUCCUUAGAAUUAAGAAAGAGGGACUGGAGAAAGACAGGGAGCAUUCCAGAGACAACUUUUGGAGACAAAGAAAGAAAUUGCUGAGGAAAUGACUUAAUGGUUCAGGGUGUGUGCCAUCACACUGACUCAGGUAUGAAAGCUUACCACUGUUUUGUCUCGGCUUCUCUCAUGUGAAGGUUUUCCUAUGCAGUUGAGAAUUUUAAUUGAUAAUUAACAAUAGACCUAUGUUGAAAUGAAAACUGUACUUUUUGUAACUCAUUGAGGUCUAUAUUAACUCACCAGGAAAAGCUACAAACAUACUUCUGUUACUUGUAGCCAAUACUUUGCUUUUCUGCUUUUGUUUUAACUACAAAAGUGAAAUGCCAAUAACAAGGCAAAGAACGCCACCAUUGAUUGAGCAUUUACUCUUAAUGUGCAAAGCACUUACAUUUCUCCUACAUUGUUUUAUUUUUAAAUCUAUACCCUAUAGAGUAGAUCUUUCACAUUAUUUAAAGAAAAGAACAACAUAACUAUAAUAAAUAUGUAUUUGGGAAAGGUGUUUCUGUGCAUAGUGGGCCAUAUUUUAGUGUUUUUAAAUUAUUUUGUUCAUACAUGCAUACUGGUUUGGGAGGAAAAAUUUGUACUAUGUAAAAGACACCAGCAGCAAGUGAAAUCAGAUAAGCAAGCAGGCUAAUUACAUAAUGCUUGGUUAAUGUCUUGUGGGCAAACCAGGAUCUUCUCUGUGAAACUUUCUGGAAUAUUGGGCUUAAAUAUAUAACUAACACAAAUAUGUUUGAAAAUUAAAAUAUAUUUAAAAUAAGUAAUGUUUGAAGUGAAUUAAUAAGUUAUUUACAAAUACUAAUAGGUAGAAAUGGGAUACCUAAUCAGAUCCCUGGUUAUCUAUUAAUUUCAUACUCAUGAGGGUCAAGAGCUGCACUAAUCUAUGACUAUAAAGAUAUGAAUUUAAGUAACGGCUUAAUAGCACUUAGCUAAACAGAAGUAGGUCUUCCUGUCAGUCCUACAGCUACCAACUCACAGGUUCUUGUAUUGGGUAACAAUACCCAAUACAAGUUCUAUAUUACAGAACAAGCCAUAAAUCUAACUGGAAAGUGAAUGGCUGCUCACAUAUUUGUGUCAUUAAUGCACCGGUGGGCAUAUCUUACCAGGGCAGUAGUUAUUAAAAUUCAUGGGAGUAGGUAAUAUUGUUGAUUAGUUUUCUCCCCAGUCAUAUACAAAAAAUUUCCUGCACUUCGAAAGGGAUGAGGACUCCAGGUCAGUACUGGUUUGCUUUUUCCAUGUCCUAUGACUCAAGUAUGUAGUGUUUUCAGCAACAGGGUCUUACACUGAGUUCUAUAAGGUAACUGAGAACAACAAUAAUGGCUUGUAAUGCUUUUGCUCUCUGUGGGAUCCCAGUGACCAGCAACUCAACUUGAAAACAGGUAACUCCCACCUGGCCCUGGGAGUUUUGUAUGACUCUUUAACAGUCGAUGGAAAUUAAUACAGAAACAGUGAUCAGUGUGUGUAUAGCGAGAGAGACUAUUCAGUGCUCAGCCCUUAAUUCAGAAGCUACAUCACACUUUUCACAAGUCUCACGGGUCAUCACAGAGAGCGUGGGGAUUGUAAAAGACAGAGGCAAUGAGGACUGCUGGGAAACAAUGCUUUCCAGAGAGUACAGCUUAUCACACGCACAAAUUCACAAUGGCUGCCAGUGUACGUUCAGGACCUACACACGAUCAAGCCAGGCAAACUCCCAGUGUGGGUGGGAGUUUAAUUAAGUCCUACUUCUAGGUGAACAGUUAUUGGCAAUUGAUGACUUCCAGAGAAGGGGAAUGCUAGUUUUCUUCAGGAAUGCAGACCUUGAUAGGACUCUAUGCUCCUGUAGAUGGCCCCAUGCCUAUGCCCACAUGCUGGCAGAGUCAGUGAAUUUGAAAAAAGAGCACAAAAAGUUGGGAGAGUAAAGCAGAAGGGGUAUAGGAAAGGAACUGGUUGGGGAAGAAGGGUUGGGUUUUAUCAAAACACACCAAAUGGGUAUAUGAAAUUCUCAAAUAAUAAAUAAAAAAGUCAAUGAAAAGUUUAAAUCAUCACUCUUACUCAACGAAUUAGAUUUCCCAAUUCUAAUUUUGUGUGUGUCACUUUUGUGAGUUUGUUGAUACGUAUUUGUACCAGUUACAUCAGUGUUUUCAUGCUUUCUUUUGACACACUUGAUGUUGCCUGUGCCCUGGACUGUGCACUACCGGACCCUACCUGCCCUUGUGGAAGGAAUCAACAACAUGGACUCCCCGGAGCAGAGCCCUGAUCUUCUCUGGACUGGGAGAUCUAAAAGGUCGAAAACCAGAGAGGGAGUUAAAGUCCUGAAAAGCUUCAUGGGCAAAGCAAUGAUUCGAAUGAUGAACUGGCUAAUUCCAAUCUCAAGGAUGAACAAGGGGACUGAGGAGUAUCCAAUCUUCAAGGACACGCAUUAAAAAUAGGCCCAGACAAACGAAGCUACUUAUCUGUUGGUAUGAAGUUGAAAGAUGCAGAAAUCCAGACUUGAAACCUGCCAGAAUGGGAAACUCUCCCACCCAGCCUUCAAGACUUCUCUAACUACCUACAGGCGGCGUGCAU